rnacentral:tRNA from 16 species
GCAUAGCUCAGUUGGUAGUAGCGCUGCACUGUAAUUCCAGGGUCCUGGGUUCAAAC